CAGGUUCUGCAACAGUGCUCACUGCUGCUCUCUGGGGUUCCUCUGGUCCGUACCUACACAGGUGGACUCAAAUGAGGGACCAAACUAACUCAAGAACAUCUCUAAGAAACUCCCCAAACACCCUCUACAAGAUCCCCAAACAAUCACAUAAAACAUGCAAAAGAAAGCUGGAUAGGGCACUUUCGGCGGCAGGUUCGGCGGCCGAAACCCCUCUCCAGAGACGAAACUCAUGCAUGUUCGGCGGCACCUUCGGCGGC
rnacentral:lncRNA from 1 species